rnacentral:rRNA from 1 species
UACAGAGGUCUCAAGCGUUGCUCGGAUUUAUUGGGCGUAAAGGGUGCGUAGGUGGCGCCGUAAGUCAGGUGUGAAAUCCCGGGGCUCAACCCCGGAACUGCACUUGAUACUGCGGUGCUCGAGUACUGGAGAGGAGAUUGGAAUUUACGGUGUAGCAGUGAAAUGCGUAGAUAUCGUAAGGAAGACCAGUGGCGAAGGCGAAUCUCUGGACAGUUACUGACACUGAGGCACGAAGGCCAGGGGAGCAAACGGG